CUUUGUUAGCUAUACAUCAUUAUGCAAAAAGGCUAUAAAAUAAAUGUUCAGAAACAUUUAUCAUUUAAACAUUACUGUUGAUGCUCAGAAAAACUGUGCUUGUAAUGUUUGCCAUUUAUCAAAGCAAACAAGCAUCUUGAUCACAAAUCUUUCCAGCCUUGAGCCUAAAACCCGCUAGCUUAUCAAAUCCCAGACAGUAGUAACACUAGCUUGUUUCAGCUGUGACUACUAACCCACUACUGUACAGAAGUCACUUGCCCGCAGUUGUUUUUCUGGUUUCUCUUCUCUCUCCCUAAAGGAGCCAUUGAAAUUUGGUGUAAAAAGAGUAGCAGUGGGUGUAGGGUGUCUCAAGGCGAAUGUGAACAGCUGAGGUGUGAUUUCACAGGCUCGCUCUGCCCUGUCACGGCCCUGAUUGGGUUGGACAGCAGGCAGAGGAGAGGCCCUAGCUUCUAAAGGACACCAACAGGUGGAGGACCGCGGGGCAGAGGGGGGAGUAUAAGGGAGGCUGAGCGCUUAAAAAAAGCCGGGAGCAUGUGGCCAUGUCUGGGCAGAAUCCACCAGUCAUGCAAAGAGGACCAUACACUGUAGCACUCAGCAGAAGAGGAAAGAUGGGAACAGAAAGCAAAUGGAAGAUUUUACACCUCUGCCACUGGAAAUGGUGCUGAUAAAGGAAAUGGAGAUGUUCGAGUGCUAGAUGUGCUAGUCCUCUCCUGCUUGGCUGGCUAACCUCCAUGUACUUCCUUGUCUAUGGACACUUGUCAACACAAAAAUAAUGAUGAAAAGGAGGAAAUAACUACAUACAGCACGCCUUGCUGUGGCUGGUCAAAUGGAACCAAGUCAGGUGUUUCUGCAAGGUUUGGUCCCCUUCAACCAGCUACUGCGUCGUGAAUACAGCCAACAUAGAGCAAAGAUUAUAAGAGAGUCAUUCAGUAAAGUCUGAUAAUUAUCAUUUAAAAUGUACUAAUCCUAAGUUUUUCAUUAUUUAAUUGUCUUUUAUUUCUUCUAAAAUACAAUAAACUAUUUUCCUUUUUAAUGUUGUGUUCA
ensembl:lncRNA